UGGAUGUGGAAAAGCUAUGCCAGACAUUCCCAAGGCACUAGAUAGCUAUAAAGGAAAGAGAUAGAUCAGGAUCCUAGCCAUGGGCACUGAAAAGUGUUGAGUGUCACCAGGGUCAGGGGCUUCUGUAGUCACCCCUGGGCUCCAAUAACCAAGCAAGGUUGGCAGCAGGGCCACAGGGCCUGAAGUCCCACUUUCCCACUCUCAUAUAGGCAUUGUCUCAUCUUUUUGAAUUGAUGGGGUUGUCUUGAUAGGCCAGAGCAAAUCACGUGAUUAUCAUUGAGAAUGACAUCCAUUCUGAAGAUACCUUUCAGGAUGACUUCAGGACUAGAAAUAGUAUCUGGCUUGUUUCUAGUACAUUUUACCUAAAGUUUCAUGUAUGAAUGGGAGAACGAAAGCCUCAGAUUGUCAACUAACUCUACCAAGUCUUACAAUAGUUCAGUGUUCAUCCAAAAAUCAAAUCCAUAAUUCCAGAUCAUUUCUUCAAUUCCUUCAACUCUUCUUUGAAGCUGAGACCCAGACUCUCGUCUGAUUUUCUAAGCCAGGCAAGACUGAUCAAGAAUCCUACAAGAAGAAAGUUUUCAGAAUCCUGACCUCACUCCAGCAGAAACGUUGCUGGUGACAAUGUUCUGGAAGACACCUCAGCAUGAAUCUCUGGAGCCAGCAUCUGGUACCACUGCCAUCUAUGGGGUGAAUACUGCAAUUAAGAGCCUGAC
rnacentral:lncRNA from 1 species